GCUACCAGGUGGGGAAAAGUGGCAUUGGAAACGGCUCUGGGCCUCUUUCCUGCAACCAUAGACUGUUGUUUCGGAAAUGCUUGGAAUGCUUGAAUGGUAGUGCUAAAUAUUUCGCCAACUAUGUGCUUGUACCAUUAUGGGGUACGCAUAACUGAGCGCGUGGAGUAGUAGGAGUAGCAGCAGCAGCAGCAGCAAGAAGUCAUGCGCCAUGUCGAGGGAGAAUUAAACCUAGUGACGAGAAGACGAGAAGAGAUGUGAUGUAUGUCCAAAAAUUUUGUCUAUAAAGAAGAGGAUGUCAAAGCAAAGUUGGGCUUUUGAAUACAGACAAACCCAAACCAGGCCGAUAAAUAUGUAAGGGUGUUUCAACUAAAAAAAAAAAGAAAAGAAAAGAAAAGAAAAAGUAUAAGUAGUCAUCAGUUUUGUUACUCUGAUCGUACACGCAAGAAGCAUCUCUAUUGGUGUUCUUGACUGGGCGAAAGCUCAGAAACCAUAGGAAAUUCCUGUGUAUUAAGAUAGAUAGUAUUGAUAUUGGGAGAGAGUGUAGCGGUCUAGGGCCUGUUAGAAUUAAAAGUGCCACGUAAGAUUGUAUUACUCAUUCUCCUCAACAGUCUUUCAUGAAGGUAAGGGAAAGGGCAAACGAAAGAAAACAGAAAGAGAAAAAUGCCGCAUAAUGACAGAAUGGGAACGCGGAAAGGUAUAUUAGAAACUGGUGAAAAAUAAAUAUUUAAUGUGUCGCAUCGCGGCCAGGGAGAUGGAAUAAAAACCGAGAAAACCAGAUUCCUGAAUGAAAGAAAUGAAACAAGAAUAGUAAAUAUAUCCGGCAUGAUCAUACAAGCUCCCACUCCGCAAUACCCCCAAAUCCCAUUGCCUUCCUACCUACACCACGAAGAAACUCCUCUCUACUUAGGCCUCGCGUAUCCUUUAGAUCCCCAAAGCUCGUUACGCUGUAGAUGUGUAGUUUCUGUCCAGGCGCACCCAAGACACGAGGGUCAGGAACAUCGACGUACCAAUGGUCACCACCACCACUUGGGUCAGAUCCACGGACAUAGUGGAAGGGUAUGUACUCUUUCCCGCCCCC
rnacentral:sRNA from 1 species